rnacentral:misc_RNA from 1 species
AGAGGCUCGCUGUAUUCAGCGACUUGUGUAUUCGUGCGUCGAACGUGCCGCAGGCGCCUCAAGGGGGCAAGGAGUUGCGUAUAAUACACCCAGCGGGUGUCUAUGUGAGGUGUGAUGCAGCGCUAAUGAGCCUUGGUAGCGCGUCGGCAUGACGUACGGGCCUUGGUGCCUUCGGAAGUUGCCCGCUUGGUCGCUCCGUGCGCCGUUUCGGUACCGUGUGUCGGGCAUGCCGCGCUCGCUUCCAAACCGACACAGGCGCGUCGCUAUCGGGAUUCACGCACCGUGUGGUCGAUUGGGCAUCGGGUCGAUCUAUGAUGAUGCUAGGUGCGUUUCCAGGGAGCCUAGCGAUUUGAUCGCGACCUAAUCUAGCCAGACGUUCGAUUGUCCGCUGAUUCUACGCAAGCUUGUAUACGCAGCAUGGAUUGGCACAUCAUCGUAGGUGCGGUCGCAGCCGCGUUGCUGUCCCUGUGCAGGGUCCGUGUCCUCUCAGGUUGUGUAUUCGGCAUUGAUUCGCACGUAAUCGUAGCUGAGGUCGCAUCCCCAUGCUAGCCCCAUGCCGGGUCCUUGUCCGACCCGGAUUUCGAACGUCACCGUAUCAGCAGCGGUGUUGUAGGUUUCGGCGUUCUUGCCAGCGGCCGCGGCAUCAGCAAGGUAUCUACGCGCAGCCUCGGCGUCGUAGGGCACCGGUUGACCCGCAGUCAUUAGCUGAUGCGGUCCGAGCGCGAUCUCCAGAUGCAUUGGGUCGAAUGGAACGCCAGCCCGGCCUAGGGCCGCAGCAACCCGUCCCCAGUUCGGGUCUUUUCCGAAGACAGCAGCUUUGCACAGCGCUGAGCUCGCGACGCAACGAGCCAGUUGCCUCGCCUCUGCGUCGGAGCGGGCACCACUAACGCGCACCUCCAGCAGAACAUUGGCGCCUUCUCCGUCACGCGCAAUCGCCUUGGCGCAGUGCUGCAAAACUGCAGUUAACAAAUCCCGUAUCACUCGGUACUCUAUACUCCGUUCAUCGUCGGGAAUCGAGACACCAGCUGCACCAUUCGCAAGUCCAAGCAGCGUAUCAUUCGUGCUGGUGUCGCCGUCAACUGUGAUCUGGUUAAAAGACUGGUCUGCAGCAUUCCGGAGUAGCUUCUGCCACGUAGUGCUCUUCAUUUCCGCAUCUGUUGUGGCAAAUGCAAGCAUGGUCGCCAUAUUUGGGUGGAUCAUGCCGCUGCCUUUGGCCAUGGCACCGACUCGUAUCCGCCUUCCGUCCGGCAUGAACGCUUCGCCGGCGAUGUGCUUCGGAACAAGAUCCGUCGUCAUGAUCGCCCGAGCAGCAAGCGUACCGCCUAUGGAGGACGCAUCCGCACGGCUCACUAGUUCGACAAUUCGUGGCACUGCGUCAAGCAGCAAAUCCAUAGGAAUGCGCUUGCCGAUGACGCCCGUAGAGGCAAGAAGCACAGCGGCCGGUGAUAUUUUCAACGAUCUCGCCACCGCUUCGGCAGUCUGCUGGGCAUCGAUGUCACCGGCAGUGCCCGUUGCAGCGUUCGCCUGACCAGAGUUGAUCAGAAUUGCCUGCACCCGCUGAUCCGCUUGCGCCAACUGCGCUCGACAAAAGCGAACAGGCGCAGCGGCAAGAACUGACUGCGUGAAGACCCCUGCUGCAAUACACGGCAGCGGAGAGUAGAGAAGCGCCAGAUCGGGCGCGCCACUUGGUUUCAAACCAGCUGCCAUCGCUGCCGCCCGGAACCCUUCCGGUGUCGUUACCGAGCCGUCUCGCAGGAACCGAAACGACUCAUGCAAGGCCGGCUCUACUCGCUGUUGCAAGCACAAGCGCUGCGGUGGUAGAAGCCCGCGUCUGAUGUAUGAAAGGUUCCGAGCAGGCGCAAGUUUUCGGUGGUAUUGGAUGAAUCGCGGCUCGGCUUGGACGAAACGUCUUUGGAAAGCAGGCACGGGGCUAACCACGAACGCCAUCGAACCAGAAACACCAUAGUACCGUUCGCGAUCGAAUCCAGCUGUCUCUGCGGAAGUGGACCGGUACGGCCUAAACACCAG